AUUGAACGCUGGCGGCAUGCCUUACACAUGCAAGUCGAACGGCAGCACGGGAGCAAUCCUGGUGGCGAGUGGCGAACGGGUGAGUAAUAUAUCGGAACGUGCCCAGUCGUGGGGGAUAACGUAGCGAAAGCUACGCUAAUACCGCAUACGAUCUAUGGAUGAAAGCGGGGGAUCGCAAGACCUUGCGCGAUUGGAGCGGCCGAUAUCAGAUUAGGUAGUUGGUGAGGUAAAGGCUCACCAAGCCGACGAUCUGUAGCCGGUCUGAGAGGACGACCAGCCACACUGGGACUGAGACACGGCCCAGACUCCUACGGGAGGCAGCAGUGGGGAAUUUUGGACAAUGGGCGCAAGCCUGAUCCAGCAAUGCCGCGUGCAGGAUGAAGGCCUUCGGGUUGUAAACUGCUUUUGUACGGAACGAAACGGUGAGCUCUAAUACAGUUUGCUAAUGACGGUACCGUAAGAAUAAGCACCGGCUAACUACGUGCCAGCAGCCGCCGUAA
rnacentral:rRNA from 1 species